rnacentral:rRNA from 1 species
GACGAACGCUGGCGGCGUGCUUAACACAUGCAAGUCGAACGGAAAGGCCUCUUUCGGGGGGUACUCGAGUGGCGAACGGGUGAGUAACACGUGAGUAACCUGCCCUUGACUUUGGGAUAACUUCAGGAAACUGGGGCUAAUACCGGAUAGGAGCUCCUGCUGCAUGGUGGGGGGUGGAAAGUUUCGGCGGUUGGGGAUGGACUCGCGGCGUAUCAGCUUGUUGGUGGGGUAGUGGCUUACCACGGCUUUGACGGGGAGCCGGCCUGAGAGGGGGACCGGGCACAUUGGGACUGAGAUACGGCCCAGACUCCUACGGGAGGCAGCAGUGGGGAAUAUUGCACAAUGGGUGGAAGCCUGAUGCAGCAACGCCGUGUGCGGGAUGACGGCCUUCGGGUUGUAAACCGCUUUCGCUCAUGACGAAGCUUUGUGUGACGGUAGUGGGUAAAGAAGCACCGGCUAACUACGUG